rnacentral:misc_RNA from 1 species
GAUGAAGAACGUAGCGAAAUGCGAUACGUAAUGUGAAUUGCAGAAUUCAGUGAAUCAUCGAAUCUUUGAACGCAUAUUGCGCUCUUUGGUAUUCCGAAGAGCAUGCUUGUUUGAGUAUCAGUAAACACCUCAACCUCUUCUUGAUUUUUCAAAAGGAGGGUGGACUUGAGCUAUCCCAACAACCUUUACCGGUCGGCGGGCGGCUUGAAAUGCAGGUGCAGCUGGACUUUUAUCUGAGCUAAAAGCAUAUCUAUUUAGUCCUCGUCAAACAGGAUUAUUACUUUUGCUGCAGCUAACAUAAAGGAUAAUUGUCCUCUUUGCUGACUGAUGCAGGAUUUUACGACACUUUAUGUGUUGUUCAACUCGAUCUCAAAUCAAGAAAGACUACCCGCUGAACUUAAGCAUAUCAAUAAGCGGAGGA